GACGAACGCUGGCGGCGUGCCUAACACAUGCAAGUCGAACGGACGAGAUGGCUUCGGCCAUCGAGUUAGUGGCGGACGGGUGAGUAACGCGUGAGCAACCUGCCUCACAGAGGGGGAUAACACACGGAAACGUGUGCUAAUACCGCAUAAUUCAUACUUGUGGCAUCACGGGUAUGGCAAAGGAGCAAUCCGCUGUGAGAUGGGCUCGCGUCCGAUUAGAUAGUUGGCGGGGUAACGGCCCACCAAGUCUGCGAUCGGUAGCCGGACUGAGAGGUUGAUCGGCCACAUUGGGACUGAGACACGGCCCAAACUCCUACGGGAGGCAGCAGUGAGGGAUAUUGCACAAUGGGCGAAAGCCUGAUGCAGCAACGCCGCGUGAGGGAUGACGGUCUUCGGAUUGUAAACCUCUGUCCUCAGUGAAGAAGAAAGUGACGGUAGCUGAGGAGGAAGCCACGGGCUAACUACGUGCCAGCAGCC
rnacentral:rRNA from 1 species